rnacentral:rRNA from 1 species
UAGAUGCGAGAGUAGAGCAUAUCAAUAAGCGGAGGAAAAGAAACUAACAAGGAUUCCCUUAGUAACGGCGAGUGAAGCGGGAAGAGCUCAAAUUUGAAAUCUUCAAGGUUCUACCUUGACGAAUUGUAGUUUAAAGAAGUGUUUUCUGUUAGAUGAGUAGCAAAAGUUCCUUGGAAUGGGACAUCAUAGAGGGUGAGAAUCCCGUAUUUGGUUAUUCAUUCUAGCUUUGUGAUACACUUUCAAAGAGUCGGAUUGUUUGGGAAUGCAGUCCAAAAUGGGUGGUAAAUUUCAUCUAAAGCUAAAUAUUGGCGAGAGACCGAUAGCGAACAAGUACCGUGAGGGAAAGAUGAAAAGAACUUUGAAAAGAGAGUUAAACAGUACGUGAAAUUGUCAAAAGGGAAGCGUUUGACACCAGUGUUGUUUUUCCGAAAAUCAAUUACGAAUGGCUUGAUUUUGUGUUGUAUUGACCUUAUCAGCUUUCUUCACUUUUUUCGAGUCUUUCUUAAUGCACUUUUCGGUUAACAAGUCAACAUCAAUUUCUUUUGUUGUAAAAGAGUAUUCGGAAGGUGGCUUUCUUUUCGGAGAAAGUGUUUAUAGCCCUAUACUUCUACAAUCGGAGAGAUUGAGGUCUGCAGCGUAGAUCCUUCGGGGUUAGAUGCACUUGUGCUAAGUUGUAGCUUUUCAUAGACAACUUGUUGACUAUGUUUAGUCAUGCGGCUUACUCGCUUGUGCUAUUUUACCUACGCUUAGGAUGUUGAGCGCAUGUCUCUCUCU